rnacentral:rRNA from 1 species
CAGUCCUUGACAUUCUCCCGGGCGGUUUCCAGAAAUGGAUUCCUCCUAGCAAUAGGUCGGAGAACAGGUGCUGCAUGGCUGUCGUCAGCCUCGUGUCGUGAGAUGUUGGGUUAAGUCCCGCAACGAAGCGCAACCCUCGCCAUUAGUUGCCAGCAUUUAGUUGGGCACUCUAGUGGGACUGCCGGUGAUAAGCCGGAGGAAGGUGGGGAUGACGUCAAGUCAUCAUGGCCCUUACGGGCUGGGCUACACACGUGCUACAAUGGCGGUGACAGUGGGCAGCCACCCAGCAAUGGGGAGCUAAUCACAAAAAACCGUCUCAGUUCGGAUUGGGGUCUGCAACUCGACCCCAUGAAGUCGGAAUCGCUAGUAAUCGCGGAUCAGCACGCCGCGGUGAAUACGUUCCCGGGCCUUGUACACACCGCCCGUCACACCAUGGGAGUUGGUUUUACCCGAAGACGGUGCGCUAACCCGCAAGGGAGGCAGCCGGCCACGGUAAGGUCAGCGACUGGGGUG